AAGUUCAAUUUCCAUGCUAUUUGGAAGGUCAUUGUAUCAAUGAUGUAGGGUAGAUUUAAGGUUUGCAUGUGAAUACCUAUUUGGUGGAUUGGGCUUUGAUUGUACAGGGGAUUUAGGGUUAAAAGUUAGAAGGGCUUCCAGGAUAUUUUAGACUAUUGAAAUUGGAUUAAUUAAUGUUUAAGCCUAAAGUUAGUUUUUUCAUGUCCUAGAAUCACAAAUGUCGACUUGUUUUUAUUAAGUGAUUUAAU
rnacentral:misc_RNA from 1 species